rnacentral:rRNA from 1 species
AUUGAACGCUGGCGGCAUGCCUUACACAUGCAAGUCGAACGGUAACAGGUCUUCGGAUGCUGACGAGUGGCGAACGGGUGAGUAAUGCAUCGGAACGUGCCCAGUUGUGGGGGAUAACUGCUCGAAAGAGCAGCUAAUACCGCAUACGACCUGAGGGCGAAAGCGGGGGAUCGCAAGACCUCGCGCAAUUGGAGCGGCCGAUGUCAGAUUAGGUAGUUGGUGGGGUAAAGGCCUACCAAGCCGACGAUCUGUAGUUGGUCUGAGAGGACGACCAGCCACACGGGGCCUGAGGCACGGCCCAGACUCCUACGGGAGGCAGCAGUGGGGAAUUUUGGACAAUGGGCGCAAGCCUGAUCCAGCAGUGCCGCGUGCAGGAAGAAGGCCUUCGGGUUGUAAACUGCUUUUGUCAGGGAAGAAAUCCUCUGGGUUAAUACCCCGGGGGGAUGACGGUACCUGAAGAAUAAGCACCGGCUUACUACGUGCCAGCCGCCGCGGUAACAC